GCCGAGGUGGCGGAACGGCAGACGCAGUGGACUUAAAAUCCACCGGGCGAAAGCCCGUGCGGGUUCGAAUCCCGCCCUCGGCA
rnacentral:tRNA from 1 species